AAUACAGCGCUGUACAGCCUGCUCGUGAAGACUGACACAAAAGUUGCUGCUUUAAAUCAAAGAGCUGUGUUACCGUUUUUUUCUCGCAAAGAACGUCUCUGUUUUCCCCUCAAACUUCUGUUUUCUUGCUGAAGGAUGCUUCACGCCUUUACCCCGUACAGUGGCACAGCGAGACUAGCAGAAAGAGAAGUCUUGGUUGUCGACACUCAAGAGCAACCUGGAGCUCAUGCAGUAGCACUGUUCUCCAGAUGGCUUUCCACGGCACCGUCUCCCGUAACACACCAGUGAGCCACGAGACUGAGACAGAAAUUCCAGUGUGGGGAGGGUGUGAGUCAUGAGAUGAUACUGACCGUUAGGAAGACACUGCUGCAGAGACUGAAACCAAACCCAGUUAUUCCUUGUUCUCAAGUCGUCUUGGGUUAGAAGCUGACGAAAAAAAUAACUGUGAUGUCUCCAUCAAGCAUGCGUUCUCAAUGAGCUGGAUAUCUUCAUUCAAAUUGUUGAAAAUCUGUUCUGCUUGGAGGUUUCUCUCGUAGAGGAAUUGUUCAGCACCACAACAGGAGUGUGCAGGGGGCCCAUGAAAGUUUAAAUGCUUUGAAUUCACUGCCAGGCACAAGAAGACUUUACUACUUGAGCUAAUGUUUGGAAAUAAAUGAGUUCUUGUCAUAGAUUGGGCAUCUUCUACCAUGGUUCUUACAUAUCAAAAUUUCUCACCAUUCUGGAAAAGGAUUCAAGUAUUUGUUCUUUUUCUUUUAUUGGCAUUCAUCUUUGUUUAUUUAUUUUAUAUUCUUGGGAUGUGUUACAUCUCUGGAGUUUGUAUUUCUACUUUUAGCAUAAAAAUGCUGUACAUACAAGUCUAGAAUACAUCUGCAGAUUAGUCUAAUUUUUCAUGUGACUUUGACUUGAACAUUUUUAUGUUUAUGUUUAUAUUGCUAUUUCAAAAAUGUGCAUUAUCUGUAUUCUUUAUGCCUUUUUCCUAUCUAUAACUCAAUAAAAUUAUGUCCCCAUUCUGCA
rnacentral:lncRNA from 1 species